rnacentral:misc_RNA from 1 species
CGCACAUUGCGCCCUUUGGUAUUCCGAAGGGCAUGCCUGUUCGAGCGUCAUUAUCACCCCUCAAGCCCGGCUUGCUGUUGGUGGCGGCGUGGCCUUUGGGCCCCGCCCCGCCUAAAGAUAAUGACGGCGUCUGUGAGGACCCCUGUACACUGAGCUCUCGGGCACGUACACGGUCGGGAGUCCAGGCGCCGGUCGACGUCCGCAAGGACACUUUUUUCUAAGGUUGACCUCGGAUCAGGUAGGGAUACCCGCUGAACUUAA